UACUUAUAACCCUCUCUCUCUCUCUCUCUCUCUGAAACGCUCUGCUUUAGCUUUGGAAAGAAAAUGGGUGCUCUUGAUUCUCUUUCAGAUUAUCUUUCUGACUUAUUUACCGUCGCAAGAAAAAAGAGGAAGCGCAAGCCAAUGCAGACAGUUGAUAUCAAAGUGAAAAUGGACUGUGAUGGCGAAUUCUGUUUCCAACAUGAAAGGUGUAAGGUCGGUGGAGGUAAACAGAAAGCAAAGCCGGGUAACAGUAAGUGGAUACGUUGAGCCAAACAAGGUCUUAAAGAAAGUGAGAAGCACAGGAAAGAGAGCUGAGUUUUGGCCCUAUAUACCCUACAACUUGGUGGCAUAUCCUUACGUUGCUCAAGCCUACGACAAAAGGGCACCUUCUGGCUAUGUUAGGAAUGUGGUUCAAGCACUUCCUAGCCCCAACGCAGCAGACGAGAAAUUCACAACCUUCUUUAGCGAUGAAAACCC
rnacentral:misc_RNA from 1 species